rnacentral:rRNA from 1 species
UACGUAGGGUGCAAGCGUUAAUCGGAAUUACUGGGCGUAAAGCGUGCGCAGGCGGUUUUGUAAGUCUGUCGUGAAAUCCCCGGGCUCAACCUGGGAAUUGCGAUGGAGACUGCAAGGCUAGAAUCUGGCAGAGGGGGGUAGAAUUCCACGUGUGGCAGUGAAAUGCGUAGAGAUGUGGAGGAACACCGAUGGCGAAGGCAGCCCCCUGGGUCAAGACUGACGCUCAUGCACGAAAGCGUGGGGAGCAAACAGG